UCGUAGGGCUACAGAGAUUGAGCUUGAUACCAUGGAGGGUUUUGCGUCAAGGGAAAAGCUCCACCAUCAUCUCAACGACCAAGGUUGGUUAGGGUUUCUGUUUUUUUUUCUGUUUUUUCUUUUUCUCCUUCCCCAGUUGAAAAUUCUCUUUGGUAUGUGCUAGUUCUCUCUCCAGCUUCUCAUUUUUUAAGAUUAAUUGUUAGUGGAAAUAGGUUUUAGAUUCAUUGAAAUGUUCUCUUUUGCUUCCUUUUCUCUAAUGAGCAUUAUCCGUUCUAUUUCAUAUCUAAUUUAUAUGAUCUGAUUCUCUUUUUGUUUAUUGGGUUUUAUGUGUUAAUCUGUGAUAAAAAUAAGUUCACUUUUUUGUGCAGGUUUCUUGACUUGAAGUUUAGUUUGUCUAUCAUAUUUAGAGAUAAUAAACGAGUCUCUGGGAGGUAUGCAAUGAGCUUUAAGUAGGUCAAUUAAUAGAUCCCAUGAAUCCAAGUGCACCACUUGCAUGAGUUGGAUGAAGUUGUGGGUUACAUGAGCCUGUGUUACCCUUUUGGGCUAACUGCCUCGGUUCUGUUUGGAAGACAUCAUAAGGCCAUAUUACAAUCUCCAAAAAAAACUUUCCUUGUUCUUGUUUGCUUUAACUUCAUCAGCCUCCAGAUCUAAUAUUAAUUUUUCUCUUAGAUUCAGAAAUUGAUAAAUCUCUUAAACAAGGUUUAUCCCAUUUUUUUCUUCAGUAGUGUAGAAAGACAUGUUGCCAAUGUAUACGGUUGUUGAAUUUUGGAGUGCGUGUUCAUAUUCUUAUUGUGUUCCUGGAAACCUUUUGUCACGAUACGCUGAAAUCUUUGUUGGAUCCUGUAACAUUAACAUAGGUAAUGAAUAGAAUGCACACUGAUAAGUGAUAUUGGUAAUUUAGUAAUUUUAAAAAUAGGAAAAAUAUUGGAUAUUACCUUGAACAGCAACGCCAUUGCACCUUAUCUGAAAAUGAAGACAAGUAGUAUAUUGUGUUGUUACUCUCGAGUUAAUAGUUACACAUGCUUAUAGAAACAAAUCUGAUGAUGUUUAAAUUAGUAUGACUAUCACAUUUGUUGCAUGAAAUUAUUCUUACAGAACCAACUCUGAUGAUGUUUAAAUUAGAUGAGAAGCUGAAGUUGAUAGAAUCUCGUCUGGAAAGCAAAAAUUGAGGGCCCACUUCAGGCUUACAUCCUCGUUGACGUACAUCACGUGAUAUUCCUCCGGUGUGGAGUUAAGAAUUUGGGGGUUUCUUUCAAGAAGCAAGUAAAAUGUACAGCAACUAAAGUUUACUUGGUCUCAAAUUCUUCUUGCCCAGGUUCCAAUGGCUCCAAAACAGCCAAACACAGGACUCUUUGUGGGUCUAAAUAAAGGGCAUGUUGUCACCAAGAAGGAAUUAGCACCUCGUCCUUCCGACAGAAAAGGGGCUUAUCAAGAUAUUCUCUAGCUUUGAGAGCUGCAUAAGGCUAAUGAUUAAAAAAAGAAAAAAUGGAGAUUCUAAAGAUCAUCAUCCAAAUGCACCAAAAUUUAGAGUAAGAUCGAACCACUAUUAAUGAAGGUAUUCUACUGGGCUAGGAUGCUUGUUGCUUGGAUAUGGAGCCAUGGAAGAACUUGGACCCUUCCGUGUUAACAGUGAUGGAAAAACACUCUACCCCAACCACUAUGCAUGGAACAAUGGUGCAUGCCUAACCCUAUAAAACCUUUGCUUUUGAGGUACUAACUGUUUUCUCCUGGAAUUUUUUUUGCCUGAGAUUUUUUGCUGCCAGCUAUCCCUUCGGGACCACUCUUAUGUAUUAUGUUAAAAGCACCAAUUCAGAAAUUUGCUGAUUAUCUUUUAGGUGUUGGUGUCAAGCUUGUUGGCAAUACAGUGUGGAGUACCCUCUUUCAUCAAUUCUUAAUAGUGAUGUCACGUGAGAAAUCAUUUUUCUUUUUGUUAAACAAGUCUUUAUUAUCAUGUAUUAGGUCAUACCAUGGGUAAAAACAGCCUUGCCCCUGGUUCCGGGGUUGUCACAAAAUACUUGACUUUUUAACUUUGUUUGUGGUUUCAUUUAGUAAUAAUCCUUCUGAGGGGGUGUUUGUUGGGCUGCUUCUUUCAAUGUCA